rnacentral:rRNA from 1 species
UACGUAGGGGGCAAGCGUUGUCCGGAUUUAUUGGGCGUAAAGAGCGUGUAGGCGGCCUGAAAGGUCAGCUGUGAAAACUCGAGGCUCAACCUCGAGACGUCGGUUGAAACCAUCUGGCUAGAGUCCGGAAGAGGAGUGUGGAAUUCCCGGUGUAGCGGUGAAAUGCGCAGAUAUCGGGGAAGAACACCCGGUGGCGAAGGCGGCACUCUGGGACGGUACUGACGCGUGAGACGCGAAAGCGUGGGGAGCGAACAGG